rnacentral:tRNA from 1 species
UCCUGGAUAGCUCAGUUGGUUAGAGCAUGGUGCUGAUAACGCCAAGGUUGCAGGUUCGAUCCCUGGUGGGAU